AUGACACACCAGUUUCCGCACGAUCACCAAAGUUAAGCAACGUCAAGCCUGGCCAAUAUACAGAUGGGUGACCGCUUGGGAAUACCAGGUGCUGUAA
rnacentral:rRNA from 1 species